rnacentral:rRNA from 1 species
GCCUAACACAUGCAAGUCGAGCGAUCUUCUUCGGAAGAGAGCGGCGGACGGGUGAGUAACGCGUGGGUAACCUGCCCUGUACACACGGAUAACAUACCGAAAGGUAUGCUAAUACGGGAUAACAUAAGAAAGUCGCAUGGCUUUCUUAUCAAAGCUUUUACGGUACAGGAUGGACCCGCGUCUGAUUAGCUAGUUGGUAAGGUAACGGCUUACCAAGGCGACGAUCAGUAGCCGACCUGAGAGGGUGAUCGGCCACAUUGGAACUGAGACACGGUCCAAACUCCUACGGGAGGCAGCAGUGGGGAAUAUUGCACAAUGGGCGAAAGCCUGAUGCAGCAACGCCGCGUGAGCGAUGAAGGCCUUCGGGUCGUAAAGCUCUGUCCUCAAGGAAGAUAAUGACGGUACUUGAGGAGGAAGCCCCGGCUAACUACGUGCCAGCAGCCGCGGUAAUACGUAGGGGGCUAGCGUUAUCCGGAAUUACUGGGCGUAAAGGGUGCGUAGGCGGUCUUUCAAGUCAGAAGUGAAAGGCUACGGCUCAACCGUAGUAAGCUUUUGAAACUGUAAGACUUGAGUGCAGGAGAGGAGAGUGGAAUUCCUAGUGUAGCGGUGAAAUGCGUAGAUAUUAGGAGGAACACCAGUUGCGAAGGCGGCUCUCUGGACUGUAACUGACGCUGAGGCACGAAAGCGUGGGGAGCAAACAGG